GCGAUUCCUGGCUUCUGCCUGGAGAAUGAUUAACCCCGCGCUGCUGGCUAAGAGGCAUCAAAGCCAGGAAGCCCAGGGAGUGCAGGCCUCGAUCCCGCCAGGUCACGUGACAGCCGAGAAAGCCGUCACCCAGGAUGGAGCCGCUACGCCAGGCCCAUAAAAGCAGGCCAUAAAGUGGGAGGGUGCCUCUCAGCAGGGCCAGGUGGUUGCGGUUCUGCUGAACCUGGGGCAGAGAGGGGGCGUCCAGGAAAUGGGUCAUUUGGGUUUGUUUAUGCCACGAUGUUCUUUCUGUGAGCAGGGAAGAAAUGCACCUCACGGGGCUUCUUAUAAACCUCGAAGCUCAUGAGCAUAAAUAGUCCAGACCAGGUGUCCACGUCCCCUGCGAGGGUCACGGGCCUCUCCCUCCCGGUGGCUGCUUUCUUAGAUUUCUGCCUUUUUCCUUCUCCAGCAAGGUCCUGGGACCAACAGCUUCAGCAUCGUCCAAGAGUUAUCAGAAACCCCCAUUCUCUGACCCUCCCUCGACCCACUGGAUGACAGAUCCUGGGGUGCACUGAGGCUAAUACCCCCACCGCCGACCUGAUGCACUGAGAUGACUGAGAACCACUGACCUCGAUACUGAUCCCUAUCUUCCUCCCACCCAGGCUUGGUGCACGUGGAAAACAGCACUCAGAUCCCCUAGGGGCAUGCCACCCUCCCGCUUGGGGCUUGGAGGCCCUUCCAUUUCUGCUUUUAUAAGUUUUCAUGGCCCGUGUUUUCUUGUUAGUUAUGGCAAAAUGUACUUGACAUAAAAUGGACCACCUUCUUCAUUUUUCAGCACCUCUAGUUCAGUGGCAUGAAGCUCAGCUAUCACCACCUGCAACCUCCAGAACCGUUCUCAUCUUGCAAAACAGGAAUCCUGGCUCCACCGCCACUCUGCUGUCGUCUGUGAGUGUGACAACCCCUCCACCUCACAUAAAGGGAACCAUAUUUUAUUGGUCCUCUGGUGAUAGGCCGAUCUCCCUCAGCUUGGCGUCCUCACGGUUCACCCACGUGUGACCGGUGUCGGAACCCUCCUCCUUUUCUAAAGCUGAAUGACCUUCCGCCAUCUGUACCCACCACGUUUUGUGUAUGCAGUCGUCCAUCAGCGGACCCUGGGGCAGUGGCUUCCAGCUGGGGACAUGGUGAAUAAUGCUGCCAGGAACUUGGGUGUACAGAUAUCCUUUCUUGGACCCUCUGCUUUUAAUUCUUUGAGGUGAAUAUCCAGAAGUGGAAUUUCUGGAGCAAGUGUUAGUUUUAUUUGUGAUUGUUUGAGGAACUGCUGUGCGGUUUUCCGUAGAGGCCACCUGUAGAGGCCACCUGUAGAGGCCAGCUCUGCAUUCCAGGAGUAAAUCCCACUUGGUCACGACGUACAGAGAUUUCAGUUCUGUUGGUUGGUGUUGUGUUGAGGAUGGUUGCAUCUUCUUCAUCAGGGCUAUAUCUGCGGUUUUUUAUAUCGGGGUGAUAAAUUUGAAAGUAUCUCCUUCUAUUUAAUUUUUUUGUGUAAGCGUGUGAGAAGAAUCAGUAUGAUUUUUUUUCUUUAAAUGUUUGGUGGAAUUCACUAGUAAAGCUGUCAGGUCCUGGGCCACUCUUUAACGGCAUUUAAUGUGGUUUAAUGAUUCCAUCACUUGAGAAUUCAAUGUUUUUAUUAGUCGGUUCAGAUUUCACAUUUCUUCCUAAUUCAGUCUAGGUAGAUAAAUGCUUCUAGGAAUUUGUACGUUUCUCCCAGGCGAUUACAAGUUACUGGCACGUAACUGUUCAAAGUAGUUUCUUACGUGGCAUUUCUGUGGUUCUCAUUUGUAAUGUUGCCUCAUUCAUUUCUGAUCUUGAGGCUUCUCUCUUUCAUAAUUAAUGUAUUUUCCCGUUUUGUUUAUCUUUUCACAAAACCAACUUCAGUUCCUUUGAUCUUUUCUACUUUCUAUUCUCUUUCAUUUUUUUCUGUUCUCGUCUUUGUCACUUGCUUCCGCUGAAUUUCGUCGGUCUGUUCUUUUUCUAGGUUUGAGGUGUGAGGUUGGAUUGUCUCUUUGAGAUCUUUCUUUUCUCUCUUAAUGUAUUUAUGGGUGUAAAAUUCCCUGUUAGCAGCAAUGUUUUGCAGCAUCCCAAAUGUCUUGGUGUGUUUUAGUUCCAUGUUUAUGUGCUUCAAAACAUUUCUUGAAUCCCUUUUGAUUUCUUCUUUGACCUUUGGUAUUCUUGAGCACAUCGUUUAAUUCAACAUGUUUGUCAAUGGCCCAUUUUUCCUGUUGUUGAGUUCUGACUUCAUACCAUUGUGGUUAGACAAGAUCCUUGGUAUGAUUUCGGUCUUCUUGAAUUUUUUAAGACAUGUUUUGUGAUCUAACGUAAGAUCUGACCCAGAGCACGUGCCCUGCGUUGGGUGCAUGUGUGCGUGUUUCUGUGUUUCUACAGGAAUGUCAUAAAUUUCUCCCCUCAUCUAUGUUCCUGUUCAGGACUCGAGGGGUUCUGUGGUCUUCUUUGCCCACACUCUCGGUCCCCAGGCCCCUGCCGCUCUGGCAUGCCACAGCACGCCGCGUGACUUUGGAGGACCCCCAUCCGAAUACCCAGACCACAACACCAUUUCCUCUAGUGCUCCUAGUUAGGUCAGACAAAAACCACAGGCGGUGCCCAGGCAAGCCCCGACUUUCUAAGCAAAUCCUCCUCUUCCUCCUGCAUCCCAAGAGAGGAACCAAAAAUAGGUACGCUUCCUUCACACUCUGCCAGGCCGCAGGAAGGAGAGGAGGAUGGGUCAAAGGAGAGCAAGAAUGCCUCAAAAUUGCCUGCUGCCUUGCGUGUGAUUUCUCAUGGCUGGGGACUCACACCCUUGGUUAAUGCAGAUUCCUAGCUGGUUUCUAGAGCUCACCAAAACUGCUUCGGUGUGUAUGCUGUGACACAUUCAGUGCCUCUGUGGAGGAACGGGGCCUCCAGCUUCCUGACCCACCAUCUGGAAGAGCCGACCUUCCUCCAACCUGGCCUUCACCUUGACUCAAUCAAAUGCAGACUUUCCUCAACCUAGAAAGGUGUGAGGUCCCAAGAAACCCAUCGUAAGGCGGAGAUAACACAAGCUGAGAGUGCGGCGAAUGUACCUGACCUGCAGAGCUUGCUGGCGUAGCCACGUAGCGCUCCAUAGAGUGUGGGUUGAUCUCCAUCGCGAUCUCGAGGCUGGCUGUGAGCUGUGGCUCACCACUGCUGCCCUGCAUCACCAGAGAGGAUCACACCAUAUGUCACUAGUCCAGGGUAAGAUCAGAGUCCAAAAUAGGAAGUCGGGGUUCUACUGAGUGCAUAUUACUUUCACACCAGCGACGAGUCAGAACAGUGUAAGUUGAACCAUCGUAAGUGGAGACUAUCUGUACCGCUUGGUCCUCUCCCAUGGCCUCCCAAGCUUCUCCCUCCCGAGAUUUAACCAGCCCCAUCCAAUCCCUGGAGCCCUGUGCACACAUCUUUGGCACUCACAUGCCCCGAUUGGUUCCAGCAGAAUUGCUCACGUUCCCUGAGGUAUGAAGUGCCUGGGUGUGGAAAUCUGCUGGUAACGGGGUCCCAGGAACACCUCUUUGUGAAUCUAUAGGUCCAAGCAUCUGGGAUAGAACCAGGCAGUCAUGCCUUUAACAAGUGCCCCGAUGAUGCCUAACCAAUAGCUUUGAAAAAACAGAACUGUAUUGAGAAGGUUAGUAUCCCCCAUGCUUAAGAAAUUCUGCCACAUGAAAAGGUAAAAUCCAACAUCUUUGCUCCGUUAGUGCCUGUCAAACACUGGUCUGGACACUAGGUGUAUAUUAACUCACUGGAUUCUUCAAGAGCCUGGGAGUUGGGUCUUACAGUCACUUUAUUUUACAGAUGAGAAAACAGGCCCCGAAAAUUUCAGCAGUUUCCCAAGGCCACUCAGCUGGCACAUGGUGGAGUCUGACUUGAGCCCAGGCCACGUGUGGCCCUUCCACCUUUAAUCCGGUGUCUACACAGUUCUCAGGGUUUAAUUGUUCAAGAAUGUCUCUCCAGGGACACACGACAUGCCGCCUGGAAUCAGCCACAUGCACACUACAGACCUCAACCCCAUCUGCUAGCUUUCCCACGACGCUCUCCAAACUGUGUCCCCUAGGUCAUCCCUCUGUGUGAGUCCAGGGCCCUCUGAAGUCCCUUAUCCCCAACACACAGCACUUGGCACGUGGACCCUAGGCGUCUUCUCCAGUUUCUCUUCUCUCUGUGUGAGUACUCCCCACCACCCAUCUGUAAAAUACUGGGGUGCUUUGGAGCUUGUUUCAAACCCUCUCUUUCUGAGCAACCACUUACACACUCACGGUUCACAAGGUCGGUCUCCACCCCCGGCCUGUGGGGAAUUUUGGACCUGUACAUCUGCGCACCAUGUUUCUUUGGAUAGACCUUUGGUACCUGCAGCAGGUGUGCAAAGCCAAGUUCACCCUCUCCUCCCUGGAGCUGCCCACUGUCAAAGCAGAUGCCCAACCAGGCCCUUUUGAAUUCCUGGGACUGUGAGAGCUGCUCUCUGAUCACAUGGAUCCUAAGAAGUGCUCCUUGUGUGUUUUCAAUCCAUCAGGGAGAGCUCACUCUCUUACCCAACAUGCCCAACUUGCAGUGGCUGAACACAGGAAAGGUCGGUCCACGCUGAAGUCCCUGUGGAUACCUCUGGUCAUUGAGUGGUAUUAUGCUUUGGAUUUAGGAACGUCCCCCUAAGAUCUCAUGCAUUGGGUAAUGCAGCGAUGUUCAGAGGUGGAAAGAUGGGAUUAUGAGAGCUAUCACCUCAUCGGGAGAUUAAUCCACUUGAUGGAUUAAUUAUUUGAAAAGGACUUGUAGGUGGCAACUAUAGGCAGGUGGACAUGGCUGGAGGACGCAGGUCACUGGGGGUAAGAGGGCGUUUGGGGGUUGUAUCUUGACCCCAAACAGCAACAGGCCAGGCCUUUUAUGCCCUCCCAGAGGCCACGGAACUGCAAGGACAGGGACUCUCUCUCUCUGCAGCCCAGCUCAGAGCUUCUCUCGUGGCCAAUCUCAGUAAAUAUGCGCCCAAGGAUUAAAUGUGGAGAACAGAAUGAGAAAAAUGGAAACAAAAUUCCAGAAAUACACACGCAGAGAGACCAAGAGGGCAAGGAAUGUGCCUCCACCUUACCUGAGCUUCCUUCCAAGAGGACUGGGGCUUUCCCUCUGAUGAGGUGACCUCCUGGGCUUCCAUCCUCUGGUACAACUGAGUCCUGAACUUCAGCCGGUCAGGAGGCUGGUCCUGGGUUCUUCUCCGUCCUACGUGAAAUCGACCAACCAGUCUCAAAGGCUGCCUUCCGAGCCCUCCAUCCUGGAUCUCCGGGCAGGCCCUGUCUCCUCUUGAACCUCCUGCCUCCCACCCUCUGCUCUCCCCACCCGUAUUCCAGCUGCACCUUUACAAACAUAAAUCAAACCAUGUGAGUCCACCAAUUCACUUUCCAAGCGAGCCCCACCGCAUUGGAAUAAAACCUACUUUUGCCUUUGUCCUACCCAACCCCCCUGCGAUGGACAGUCCACUGCCCGGACCUCAACAUCUCUGUGUUCCUCUCUUACAGCUUCUUUCUGUUUCCCAAAUGCCCCGGGCUCUGUCCCGUAGCCCUGUCACAUUGUGUACACUCAGCUCCAUUGGCCCCUGUCCAUCUUUACUGGAGUCUGGAGAAUAGGUUUAGGUGCUGGAAGCUGCCACAAUGGAUAAGACCCCAGAACCUCACAAUGAACAAGAUCUCGUUUGAGUCGACUUUGCGCUCCGGUGAAAUAAGUAAGAGUGCUCCUGAUUGGCAGGUGGAUCCCUCCACACGGUGACUCAGGGACCCAGGCUCCUGUCAUCCUGGAGCUCUUCCACCUUGACUUCAUGUCUCCCAGUGGUGCCAGAGAGGGACAGUAGAUAUGGUGUACAGGCAGCAGAUGUCUAAUGUGGGUAUGCCUUUAUCACCAGGUGCAGCGUGCCAUCUCGACGCCUACCAUUCAGCCUUUGGGCCUUUUGGUGGGAGCAAUGCCAUAAAUCAGCGUGGACACAAGUGUGGACAUCACCAUCCAAGCUGGUGCAAUGGAUGCCCAGGUCACCCCUGGGCAUGCUCAUGUUGAUCUUGGAGAGUGAUUAUCCAAACAAAAGCCCAAGACGAUUGCACUGGGACAUAAAUAUGUACAAAGACAGCGGCAAUAAAUGAGUCUACCCCCAAUGUGAGCGCGCUCUAUUGAUUCAGAGUUUGCAAGGGAUCUGUCCACCAUCGCUUGGGUUUAGCAGAAGCUCUCAGGCAGACUGAGGAGCGGAAACCUUCAUCAUGGAAAAGGAGGAAGGCUCAGGCGAGCCCAACGGAGGCUCUUCGGCUACAGAGGCUGGGGUGAUGGCCUAGACGGGGGGCAUCCUAUGGGAUUGGUUAAAACUGUGUAUUCACCUUUCUCUGCUACCUCCCUCCAGUGGUGGUCCCUCUAUGUGAAGAGCUUCCUAUAGAAACACUGCAACCACCUGCAUGGACCUGAAAGAGAAGAGGAAGGGAAAUAGACAGGUAGAUAAGACACAUACCAGGUAACCUCCCUCAUCUGUGGAAUCGAGGAAAGCCAAAUGACAGACGCCGAGAGCAGCACAGUAGUGACGGGCUGAGGGGGUGGGAAGCUGGGCGGCUGGGAGACGUCCUUCCUGCACAUUGCUCAUUCCCACCGUGUUCAGUACCAAGGACAGAGAGGAAUCGUGCCCGUGUAGGGGCUGAGGACAGCCGCGGCCAGAAUCAGGAGCCCAAGCUGUCACCGAAGGGCCGCUCCACUCCUGUGAAGCCACCGACGGCCAAGAGCGCCUGGAUCUCACACAUGAAUUCCCACACGCUUAUGCACAUACGCAUCACACACAGCCACCCACCCAUGCAAACCCCCACAUACAGACACAUCACCCACUCAUAUGUUCACACGUACUAGCACACACAUGCACAUACCCACAUACCCUCCCAUGCAUGCUCACACACACAUGCUCACAGGUACUCCUGCCUUUGUGUUCACAUGCACACUCAUGUCACACGUGCUAUCACAUCUGUGUGCUCACAUGUGCUCAUGUGUUCACACGCACUGUCACAGACACAUGUGUUUGUUCAUGUGCACUCACACGUGCGUGUUCACAGGUGCUCGGGUGAGCACACACUCACACUCAUUCACAUGUGCUUGUAUGCACAUCCACAUACUCACAGGAACUCACGCCUGCGUGUGCAGUGUCGUGGUGGUGACUGCAGCCGAGAGCCGUAGAGCGGGGGAAGGCAGACGUGGUGCCGUUUGUGUCCCCCACCUUGCUGUGGCUUGGGCUGACCACGUCCUUCCUCUCUUCCUGGCCCCUUCACCUCCUCAUCAAGGCACAUUCACAGGAAUCCUCACGCUGGCGCUGCUCCUGGGCAUGCCGCCC